GGAAAAAUGUCAACUGGUACACUUUGAUGCUUUGGCAAGCGACACAAGUCUGACGAAAUUCCUUAAACCAAAUUCAAUAUCGUGCAUAAAAUUCAACAAAAAUGAAGUUGCUUGGACUCGGUGUGCAACUGAUGAAGGCCAGAUGUGGAGCGGGCCCCAACCAGCGCUCCUACAGCUGCUGUCCAGAGAUGCAGGACACGAUUCCGUAUUGCCAAAAAAAGCCAUUCUGGAACUUUAAAAGAACCAUGUUCUUCUCUCUGCUGACCUUUGGAGCCGGAAUUUACACGGGCAUCUACAUAUCGCAGAACUAUGAGGUGCCGCGUGUGGAUGAUCCGCAAAAACUGGUCCAGAGAAUGAACGAAAAGCUACGAGAGCUAAUUGACGACAACAAGAAAAAGUAAUUCCAUAUUCGUUAUAAUCUCUCGGGCGUUGUCGUUCCUUCUGAACACCAUCCAUCUCCUCGCACUCAAAAUCCAUAGUUACAAUAAAACUUUCGACUGACCUUUAGUUAUGGCUAUUAAUUAUUAUUUGAUGAGGCUCGGAAGGCAACAGAACGAAGUAUUGGGAGCGGAAGGACUGAUCAUAGGGGACUACUCAUUUACCGAAUAUAUUAGGUCGGCCGCUGAACAGAUCGUUCAUGACAUCAAAAAGGAGGCAAAGAAGAUCUUGGAUGAUUGAUAAAAAGCGCUAUGUUAGGCUUUAAAGUUUAAACAAAUUUAUCUAUGGUCAAAUAAAGUUACGUUAAAUGUG